rnacentral:lncRNA from 1 species
GUUUGUUUCAAAGCUUCUUGUGGGGUAAACACUCUGUGGUAAACAAAAUGUUCUUUCAUUUUCACGUGCAUAGCGCACACAUUUCAAAUAAACAAAUUUCUACAUGAUUGUCAUGCAUGCAACGACAGUGAAACUGCGCACAAACUCGUCAUAAUGUUGAAACCAAUCCGACGAAGUGGCUAAUAAAAUUUUGAGAGACUGCUAUUAUGUGACCCGAUUUUGUGCACGGCUACCGUAGUUAGACUGAAAAGAUGCCACGAUGUCUUACAAAACAAACGCCUGCAAAUUCUGAGUUUCAUCAGCCAUAAUUUCUCCUCAUUGC